GGACCAGCUUCCGGUUGGAGCGCCGGGGCUUCGGGAGGCGCGUCAUUUAGGUAACAUGGAUCCGAUGGGAAGUCACAAGGAAGGCACGAGAUGGGACAAGACUAUGGUCAACUAAGAAGAUUAAGAGCAUAACUGAUCAGGAUUCUUUCUUCCUAUCCUACUCAAUUUUGAACUCUGCUGGUAUGAAUAUCUUGGCUUCCAAGGGUGGUGGAGGGAUGCUAUCAUCAAGAGACAUCAAUGGAUCCACUGGACUUAAAGUGAUUCUCUUGGCCCCAUUGCCCUGGGGGAGCAGGUGGUUGGAGCUCCGUGGCAUCCCUACUAGACUG